UACGUAGGGGGCAAGCGUUGUCCGGAAUUAUUGGGCGUAAAGAGCUCGUAGGCGGCCUGUUGCGUCCGCUGUGAAAUCCCGGGGCUCAACCCCGGGCCUGCAGUGGAUACGGGCUGGCUGGAGGCAGGCAGGGGAGAACGGAAUUCCUGGUGUAGCGGUGAAAUGCGCAGAUAUCAGGAGGAACACCGGUGGCGAAGGCGGUUCUCUGGGCCUGUACUGACGCUGAGGAGCGAAAGCGUGGGGAGCGAACAGG
rnacentral:rRNA from 1 species